UACAGAGGGUGCGAGCGUUGUCCGGAAUCACUGGGCGUAAAGGGCGCGUAGGCGGCCUGGUAAGCGUGCGGUGAAAGCCCGGGGCUCAACCCCGGGUCGGCCGUGCGAACUGCGAGGCUGGAGCACUGUAGAGGCAGGUGGAAUUCCGGGUGUAGCGGUGGAAUGCGUAGAGAUCCGGAAGAACACCGGUGGCGAAGGCGGUCUGCUGGGCAGUUGCUGACACUGAGGCGCGACAGCGUGGGGGAGCAAACAGG
rnacentral:rRNA from 1 species